GACGGAGGAUGCAAGCGUUAUCCGGAAUGAUUGGGCGUAAAGCGUCCGCAGGUGGCAGUUCAAGUCUGCUGUCAAAGACCGGGGCUUAACUUCGGAAAGGCAGUGGAACUGAACAGCUAGAGUAUGGUAGGGGCAGAGGGAAUUCCUGGUGUAGCGGUGAAAUGCGUAGAGAUCAGGAGAACAUCGGUGGCGAAGGCGCUCUGCUGGACCAUAACUGACACUCAGGGACGAAAGCUAGGGGAGCGAAUGGG
rnacentral:rRNA from 1 species